GGCGAGUGACCGGGAUGAGCUCAAAUUUGAAAUCUGGCGUCUUUCAGGCGUCCGAGUUGUAAUCUAUAGAGGCGUUUUCCGCGCCGGACCGCGUCCAAGUCUCUUGGAAUAGAGUAUCAAAGAGGGUGACAAUCCCGUACUUGACGCGACAACCGGUGCUCUGUGAUACGUUCUCAAUGAGUCGAGUUGUUUGGGAAUGCAGCUCUAAAUGGGUGGUAAAUUCCAUCUAAGGCUAAAUAUUGGCGAGAGACCGAUAGCGAACAAGUACCGUGAGGGAAAGAUGAAAAGCACUUUGGAAAGAGAGUUAAACAGCACGUGAAAUUGUUAAAAGGGAAACGAUUGAAGUCAGUCGUGUGGGAAGUAUUCAGCCGUCUCUGGCGGUGUAUUUGCUUCUCACGGGUCAACAUCAGUUUGAUCCGGUAGAAAAAGGCGGGAAGAAGGUGGCACCCUCGGGUGUGUUAUAGCUUCCUGUCAUAUGUGCCGGACCAGACUGAGGAACGCAGCUUGCAGCAAUGCCGGGGUUCGCCCACGUACAAGCUUAGGAUGUUGACAUAAUGGCUUUAA
rnacentral:rRNA from 1 species